GAUCAAGGCCCUUUCGGGGAACUGAGGCGCACAUCGUGUCAGAGCCGGGCGCGUGAAACUCCUGGGCCGGACACGGCACAGGAGGCGCCGCUCGCACCUGGGCACGAGGGGGGCCGCCAGGCGCGUGCUGACCCUCCCCGGGUCCUCCUGCGGCCAGACAAGUGGCCGUGUGGAGGAGGAGGAGGAGGAGGCGACGGGCGGGCCGCUCGGAGCAGGAAACCGAGCCGCCCAGGCGAGAAGGGGAACUGCAUAGCGGGUUUCUCCGCCUGCUCGCCGAGGGGCAGAGACAAUUGAAGAAGACUUUCUGAGAACGCCUGUGUGUGAGCACACCAUCGACUUCCCUGCCUGCCCGUUGGUGUACAGGCCCCUCUGUGGAACCGAUGGGAACACUUACGACAAUGAAUGUUUGCUCUGCAUUACUCGAACGUAA